GACGAACGCUGGCGGCGUGCCUAAUACAUGCAAGUCGAACGCUUUUUCUUUCACCGGAGCUUGCUCCACCGAAAGAAAAAGAGUGGCGAACGGGUGAGUAACACGUGGGUAACCUGCCCAUCAGAAGGGGAUAACACUUGGAAACAGGUGCUAAUACCGUAUAACACUAUUUUCCGCAUGGAAGAAAGUUGAAAGGCGCUUUUGCGUCACUGAUGGAUGGACCCGCGGUGCAUUAGCUAGUUGGUGAGGUAACGGCUCACCAAGGCAACGAUGCAUAGCCGACCUGGGGGGGUGAUCGGCCACCCUGGGACUGAGACACGGCCCAGACUCCUACGGGAGGCAGCAGUAGGGAAUCUUCGGCAAUGGACGAAAGUCUGACCGAGCAACGCCGCGUGAGUGAAGAAGGUUUUCGGAUCGUAAAACUCUGUUGUUAGAGAAGAACAAGGAUGAGAGUAAAAUGUUCAUCCCUUGACGGUAUCUAACCAGAAAGCCACGGCUAACUACGUGCCAGCCGCCGCGGUAA
rnacentral:rRNA from 1 species